CCUACGGGUGGCAGCAGUGAGGAAUAUUGGUCAAUGGGCUUACGCCUGAACCAGCCAAGUCGCGUGAGGGAAGACUGCCCUAUGGGUUGUAAACCUCUUUUGUCAGGGAGCAACGCCGGCUACGUGUAGCCGUACUGAGAGUACCUGAAGAAAAAGCAGCGGCUAACUCCGUGCCAGCAGCCGCGGUAAUACGGAGGAUGCGAGCGUGAGCCGGAUUUAUUGGGUUUAAAGGGUGCGUAGGCGGAAUGCCAAGUCAGCGGUAAAAUCGUGGGGCUAACCCUCGCUCUGCCGUUGAAACUGGCAGUCUUGAGUGGGUGAGAAGUAUGCGGAAUGCGUGGUGUAGCGGUGAAAUGCAUAGAUAUCACGCAGAACUCCGAUUGCGAAGGCAGCAUACCGGCGCCGAACUGACGCUGAAGCACGAAAGCGUGGGUAUCGAACAGGAUUAGAUACCCUAGUAGUC
rnacentral:rRNA from 1 species